rnacentral:rRNA from 1 species
CCUACGGGAGGCAGCAGUGAGGAAUAUUGGUCAAUGGACGGAAGUCUGAACCAGCCAUGCCGCGUGCAGGAAGACGGCUCUAUGAGUUGUAAACUUCUUUUGUACAAGGGUAAACCUGAAUACGUGUAUUCAGCUGAAAGUACUUUAAGAAUAAGCAUCGGCUAACUCCGUGCCAGCAGCCGCGGUAAUACGGAGGAUCCAAGCGUUAUCCGGAUUUAUUGGGUUUAAAGGGUGCGCAGGCGGAAUGAUAAGUCAGCGGUGAAAUGUCGGAGCUUAACUCUGUAACUGCCUAUAAUACUGUUGAUCUAGGGAGUAGAGGCGGUAGGCGGAAUGUAUGUGGUGGCGGUGAAAUGAUUAGUGAUCAUACAGA